AAGAUUGUCUUAGUUUAUGCAUUCUUCAAUUUGCAUACUCUUUUCUUGAGAACAAAUCUAGGGUAAUCUCAAUAUUGACUUCUUCUAAACCUGUAUGCAAAGAAAACAUUUUCACUUCAAAGUUGUUGCAAGUCCCAUUCAUGAUUGAUUGUACAUGGUACGAGAUCAUAGUCUUAAUUGGAUUGGUCAUAACACUUAGGUGACUGUCCACUAUUGAAUAUAUGAUAAGGUGUGUCUUAGAGAUGGUAAUUGGUCUGUACUGAGCACUUAGACCCGGAUCUGGUCACAUUUCAUAUUCAGACCAACAAGAAAAUCAUAGACCCAUUGCUUCUCGUGGUUUUUUCAAUUCGAAGGCCUGAUUGAAUUGGCUGCUUGGAAAUCUUGAUAAGAGUCGAGUUCAGCCAUAAGCCACUUAGUUCAGCAAAAUGUGGGGCAACAAUCAUCUCAACUUUUAGUUGCUUGCACCUAUUGUACAGGUCAUAUCUACACAUCAUUGUCAAUCUCGGAUUGUGUCUGGGAUGCAACACUCCGGAUUUUGUGGUAGCUUCUAGAAGCAAUUAUCUCCCAAGAAACUUGUGGCUGCACGAAUUGAUUAUAUAUAAGUGAAUUAUCAGAUUUCCACCGGAUAAUCAUAGGAUUUUUUCAACUGGCUAGUUUUAUUCCCUGUAAUGUACCCUUGUAGACCACAGGCUUGAAUAAAUAGUAAGCAAGACCCCGAUCUGCUAGAUAAUUGGUUCAUCAAGCUUCAGUAGGCUUAUCUGUAAUGAAGGGUUUUUUUUCCAGCGCAAUGAACCUACCAACCUUGACUUCUCCCUUUGCCACCUUAUCUUUAACAAUGUUUCUCUGCUUAUAGAUCAAACAAGAAGGCAAAAUGGUGACCCCCCAACUGUACCAACUGCCUCUGUGUACUGAAGAAGAUGACUCCCACAACACUGCAAGGAGGUAGAAUAUUAGCACCCACAAUCCCCUUCUGGAUGCAAGUGAGGAAUUUAUGUUCUCUGUCCAAGAUUAGUGUCUGAAUGCAUGACGUGCUGUCAUCUUUUGGCUUCCAACAAAGUGUCAGCAUUCUCUUUCCACACUCUUCCUUUAUGCUGCCAUUGAUGAGUUGGUGCUGUCUGUCCACCACUAGAACCUGAAAGCACUCGAGCCUCUUAGGAGAGAUGGUGCCAGCGGGCAUGCCAACACUCUUCUUUGGUCUAGUCCAUACAGGUUUUCCAUGAUUGUUAGUUGCCGGCAACUGCACUUGAGGGGAAUAGGAAGCAUGUAACGUCUGGAGGACUGCAAUAGUGUGAAACCCUGGGGAUGCUGUUUUGGGCAAGCAGGUCUGAGAGGUUGCAGUAAUGGCCAAUUACACUAAUGCCAUGUUGAGUAGAGAAUGAAACCAGAGCAGAAGAAUAAUCUUUUUGUAUAUCAUUGUUAUGGAUGUUUAAAGCAUAUAUAAAAGUUCUCCACACUUUGGAAACCUAGUUAUAGAUGGCUACAAAAAUUAAACAUGAGAUAAUUGGGGGACUUACUGUUUAUUGUUAAGAUAUGUACACUAUGGAAACUAGAAUAUUCAGGAUAUUCUGGCAGGAAUUGUAGGAUUAUCAGAUUCACAUAUGUUAUGGAAUGUAGACUCUAGUGCUGACUGAGAAGCAUAGAUAUAAAUCACCUGUAGGGCCUGUUGAAUGUUCUGUGAAUCAUUCAGGUAUGUAGGCAUUGAUGACAUCGUACUUAUGAGCAGGAUAUGUGCACAUUUAUUCGUCUCGAUUCAAAUAUUAUGGUAUUGGCAUCUUUUAGAACUGUAUUCAUUAUUGUCCAUUGAAAAAACAGGAGAUAUAUGAAUAUUUGCAUGAGGCACAUCUGUGCUUAUAUAUGCACAUUUAUUCAUCUAGGUCCAGAUAUUAUGGGUAUUGGCAUCUUUUAGAACUGUAUUCAUUAUUUUCCAUUAAAAAAACAGGAGAGAUAUGAAUAUUUGCAUGAGACAUUUGUGCUUAUUUAUGCACAUUGUAAGAGCACACCUUUUAUGCCCCUUUUUUAUGGUGACACCUUUUUUGCUCUUUGAAGUUAAGCUUGGCAGCCGUGAAAGUUAGGGGAUCUAUGCCAGUUAUUAUAGAUGAUAGUUUCUGGAUUUUUUCCUGUUUUCUAAUUCAAAGCAUGUAUUAUCCAUUUUGAUUGUGGCUAUUCGUUGUAGCAGGCAAAGGAAGCAUACACGCAAUCCUUAUAUAACUCUGUAACAGAACAGUACAAGUUGCUCAAAUCUGCCAUACACAGAAAAAAGGGACUUGAGGCAUCAUCACCAAGCAUUGCUUUGUCACAACCAUGGUCUUAGUAAUUUGUUUGUGCCUCUCUCCAUAUCUGGUGUUGGCUUUCUUUUUCCUGUAAUCCUGUAGCAACCUAAACAACCUAGGUAGAUGGUUCCCAGUACUGGCAUGGGAUCUCCUGUUUAUCAUCAGCCACUGAUGUCCAACAUGAGAGAUUGCCGUCACCUGGGUUUUCUCUUCUUGGUGAAUGCCAUUGCAUGGGAGUCGAACAAGCCAGAAAUUUACGACUUGCCAGUAGUUCAUAUCAGGUCGGUGCUGUACAUAUAUUAUUCCUAGGAAGAAUCGGAGCCAGUCAUUCAUGGGCAAUUACAUGUAUAUUUUUGGUUAAGUUUUAGAUGUCUUAGCUAAUUUGUCAAUUGUUAUUCUCCUCUGCUCUAUCUAUAGAUUGCUUGCAAUAAAUUUAUACUCAGUGGAUAAGAUUAGGAAUGCUGCUGCACAAACAAGCAUUUUUAGCAAGUAAUCAAGCAAUGGUACAGAUUUCAUUUGUUGAAAGUUGAAACUCUUGUUCCCCGAGUUAUAGAAUGCACUUUAUUUCGGGAA